AUAUACCACUAGGGGUGCGCGAGUAAGCGCUGAGAGAUGUUUAAACGGAAACCCUUUGAACCUGAUCCGAAAAACGGCGGAGGAAAGUGGCUGACGAUUGUG
rnacentral:ncRNA from 2 species